rnacentral:misc_RNA from 1 species
GAAAAGGUAAGUUUUCUAUAUUUUACAUUUGUAUUUUCGCGGAAUUUCACUUUGUUGUAAUUGUGAAUAUUUCAUUCAUUCACUUAAGAUAUAUCUUAAAAAAUAAAUGUCAGUUCCGGUGUUGCUAGGGUAACGGUUGCCAAGUUCAAGCCCGGCUCUUACGAAUAUUCGUUUACCGAAGCGUAUCAUUGCUAUCACACCUCUGCUAUUUUGAAAGUUUAGUCGAUAUAUUUGAGUUCCUGUACUUUCUUCUUACUGCAGUAAGAUUUCUCUUGUGAGACUUGAGUCUGGAGUUGAGUACUCUAGUAUAAACUUGAGUUGGUGCAAGAGAGUUCAACUGUGAAGUAUGGACCAAGACUGACCUCAAGCACCACAUCUCUCCCUGUCAGCCCAGUGAGCAGCUUCACCAACCUGAGCCAGUGUGAUGUGUCCUGCAGUCUGACCAGCCUAAGCCACCAAGGAGUGCCACUUCCAGUCCCUAGCAGGAGACCUGGACCCCUGAACAAGAUGGUGGACAGGAAGAGAAAGAGAGAUGAGGAUGAUGAGGUAGAGGUGAAGGUUUGUAAGAGGGCCAGGCUGUAGGUAUGGUAGGUAUAGUCAGAUGUACAUAGUCAGAUGUAAUGUAUGUCUGAAGCAUCUAUUUUAGGAAACACUUUUCAUGUUUUACUCGGAGUAGAAAUGUCUUUAAAUUCUGCUAUUAUUCUAGACACACUAUAUUUUAUUGUCCUUUCUAUAUUAUAUCCAUAUUUAAAAUAGUUGUGUCCUUCCGCUGUUAUUGCUUCAUUGUAAGUUACUAUUCAAGUUUGUAAUCACUUAUAGCCCUAUUCCUUAUCACUGUCAUUAAACAUUUCCCACUUGUGUUCCAGCCUGAUUCUAGCCCCUACUCUAAUUCCUUCCUUGGUUGUGUCUCCUUUCCCUGUCCCUACAAGUGGUUGUAGCUCCUAUUCCUGUCAGUGGUUGCAGAUCCUAUUCCUGUCCCUGCUAGUGGUUGUAGCUCCUAUUCCUGUCAGUGGUUGCAGAUCCUAUUCCUGUCCCUAUAAGUAGUUGUAGCUCCUGUUCCUGUCCCUGUCAGUAGUUGUAGCUCCUAUUCCAGUCCCUGUCAGUAGUUGUAGCUCCUAUUGAUGACCCUGUCAGUGGUUGUAGGUCCUAUUCAUGUCCCUGUAAAUAGUUGUAGCUCCGAUUCCUGUCCCUGUCAGUAGUUGUAGCUCCUAUUCCUGUCCCUGUCAGUGGCUGUAGCUCCUAUUCCUGUCCCUGUCAGUAGUUGUAGCUCCUAUUCCAGUCCCUGUCAGUAGUUGUAGCUCCUAUUCCUGUCCCUGUAAGUAGUUGUAGCCUCUAUUCCCGUCCCUGUCAGUGGUUGUAGCUCCUAUUCCUGUCCCUGUCAGUAGUUGUAGCUCCUAUUGAUGUCCCUGCCAGUAGUUGUAGCUCCAAUUCCUGUCCCUGCCAGUAGUUGUAGCUCCUAUUCCUGUCCCUGUCAGUAGUUGUUGCUCCUAUUCCUGUCCCUGCCAGUGGUUGUAACUCCUGUUCCUGUUCCUGCCAGUGGUUGUAGCUCUUGUUCCUGUCCCUGUCAGACGUUGUAGCUCCCAUUCCUGUCCUUGCCAGUAGUUGUACCUCCUAUUCCUGUCCCUGUCAGUGGCUGUAGCUCCUAUUCCAGUCCCUGUCAGUAGUUGUAGCUCCUUUUCCAGUCCCUGUCAGUGGCUGUAGCUCCUAUUCCAGUCCCUGUCAGUAGUUGUAGCUCCUAUUCCUGUCCCUGUCAGUGGCUGUAGCUCCUAUUCCUGUCCCUGUCAGUAGUUGUAGCUCCUAUUCCUAUCCCUCUCAGUAGCUGUAGCUCCUAUUCCUGUCCCUCUCAGUAGUUGUAGCUCCUAUUGGUGUCCCUGCCAGUAGUUGUAGCUCCAAUUCCUGUCCCUUCCAGCAGUUGUAGCUCCUAUUCCUGUCCCUGCCACUAGUUGUAGCUUCUAUUCCUGUCCAUGUCAGUGUCUGUAACUCCUAUUCCUGUCCCUGUCAGUAGUUGUAGGUCCUAUUGAUGUCCCUGCCAGUGGUUGUAGCUCCUAUUCCUGUCCCUGUCAGUUUUUGUAGCUCCUAUUCCUGUCGCCGCCAGUAGUUGUAUCUCCUUUUGAUGUUCCAGCCAGUGGUUCACGCCUGGCUAGUGGUUGUUGUCCUUAGUUCUGUCAGUACUUAUAUCCCCUACUCCUGCCCCUUUCAGAGGUACUGGCAACUCGCAUUCCUGACCCUUGCUCAAGCUAACAUUACCUGGUUAAUGAUACAUGUAAGAUCAGAUCUAAUGAUACCAAAUGAUAUGAAUAAUACAAUCAAUGUUGCCUCAAAGAAUAUCUGCUAAGCUAUGUACAUGAAAAAGUAAGACAGGUAGUAAUAAGUCAGUGUUAAAAAAUGAAGUGCAUGUAUUAUCCAGAACUGACUGGACAUUAGUCCAAACUUUGUAUUAAAACAUAAUCUGUGCAGAUAAAACUAUGGCAGUAUUUAUUUGGGCUCAAAAUCAUAGACUAAAUUCUGUUUGACAUCUGAUAUAUUUUCUAUCAACCACUUAUAAGAUAUAAUGUUAAAGUCAGGGCUAGUACAGGUGGUGUGGGCAUGACUAGAAGGGGAGGUGGAGGCCACUGUUUAGUUAGGUUAGUAGUUUGUAUAUAGUAUGUAAAUAAGCUGAAAAUCAGUAAACAUUAACUGUGUCAGAUGAAUUGCCUACAUGAUGUAUUUUCUUAUGAUUGUUAAAACAUCAGUAAAUGUAUCCAUUCAUAUAAUGUUAUAGUCAGGGCCACUGUUUAGUUAGGUUUGUAGUUUGUAUUCAGUGUGUAAAAUAGCUGAAGAUCGGUAAACAUUAAUUGCCUACAUGAUGUAGUUUUCAAUAAAGGUUAAUUCAUAUAAUGUGGUGUGGGUGUGGCUAGAAGGGGAGAUGGAGGCCACUGUUUCGUUAGGCUAGUAGUUAGUUUGUAUAUAGUGUGUAAAUAAGCUGAAGGUCGGUAUUAAAACAUUAACUGUGUCAUAUGAAUUGCCUACUUGAUGUAUUUUCCUUGUGAUUAUUAAAACACCAGUAAAGGUAUCCGUUCAUAGUAUAUUAAAGUCAGGGUUAGUACAGGUGGUGUAGGCGUGGCUAGAAGGGGAGGUGGAGGCCACUGUUUAGUUAGGCUGGUAGUUUGUAUACAGUGUAUAAAGAAGCUGAAGAUCGGUAAACAUGAACUGCGUCAAAUAAAUUAGAAACAUGAUUAUAAAUAUCAAAACAUCAAUAAAGGUGGAAUCAUAAUUGUUGAAUAAAAAUAUAAUUGCGUCUUUCUGUUGAUUUAUGCUUUAAAAAUAUAAAUCUUUGUCAGAGAAAUAAAUCAAAGUAUCUUAAGUUUACUUUUAUCUUUCUCCUUUGUUCAUUCACUCUUCACAAACAUAAUCUGUUCAGAAAAAUAAAUCUUAAUAUCUAAA